CCAGAAUGAAUGCUAAUUUGAUUGAGAAUUUUAUACUGGUCUCACUGAAGUGAAUGAAGUCAUUCUUUGUGUCCCGGAGAGAUGGGAAGGGCAGUAGCCCCACACUAUUUGAAAAGCCUCAGGGCAUCUAAGAGGUGGUCACGGGUAUCACCUCCUGGAACAUGAACUGCUUGGCUCUGUCCUGAUGCACCUGCUAAAUAGAUGCAAACACCAGAUCCCCAGUUCAGAGUAUCUAAACACAAAAAAAUGGAAUGUUCUAACACUACUGACAUCUAACCUUCCAAAUGUCUUAUUCUGUUCAUGACUUCAGUAGUUCUACAGCCCGGAUAGAAAAUGAUAACUAAAGUAAAACAUUUCCAAGACUGUCAGGAUUUUACAUGUUACUUAUCACCUGUGGGUCCCAGAGGUUAAAACUGCUAGGCUCUUCUUCCCCCUCCCACUCAGGCAAGUGCCAAGGGAUGGACAGACUGCAGAGCGCUCAUGAGGAAAGGGUCCCUGUGCAAGUUCUUUUCAGCACCAGGAGGGUAACAGUGGGCUCGGACGGAAGAGUGUGGCACCACUGUAUGGGAGCUGUCCCUGUGACUUCCUUUCUUUCCAAGAAAAGGGAAGUUGCCACUACGGCUACAGAUAUACGUAUAUGGCACAUAAGAUUCUGAGUUUACUUUGGUCUUUAAAGUCUCAAUUCUACUUAAGAGAAAUUAUUUUGCUUAAUUCACUUAACAUAACAAGACUGUAAUCAUCAAGAAAAAUCAUUUGGUCAUGACAGUGUCCAGGAAGGAAUUCUACAAGCACAUCUGUUGCUUUUCCAAAGGUUCUAUUACAGAAAUUAUCUCAAGUAUAUUCAACAUCUGCAGUGUCUUCUGCUUCAGUCUGAUUAGCGGCUUCUGUUUAAAAACCAAUUUUAUUUUGACCCUUUCAAAAGCCCCUCAGGAAGAUUAUAAGAAACUACAACACGUAUUAAAAAUCUUUGUCAAUGAUUAAAUUUAACCAGAUUUCAAAACCAAUAUAUUAAUUAGCCUCAAAGAUUAUUUCCUUAUAAAAUAUUCUAAAAACAACAGGCAGUGCCCAGAAUACUACUAAGGUCUUAUGGAUAACGCAUUAACGAACCCUCUCACACUAGAGACGGGGCUGCAAAAUUAUAAAAUGGAGUUAUGAAAGGCUAAGUAUUUUCAGAGAUGGAAGGACACACUGAAAUUUCUUUUAGUACAAAAAUCAAGUCAAAAAGACUUUUUGAACUCAAGAGCUGUAAGCACAAAAAUUUAUCUCCCCACCUGUUCCUAUAAACUGGCUUCCAGAUGAAUGACAGCCACAAGCUUCCAAAGAGUAUUUCAACAAUCCCAUCAGUGUGCAUCCCGCCACAUCACAAUGCUACCUUAUCUUGAAGAAAAUGCAAAAGGUCAGAAACAGCCUCUCUUAGGGUGACUGAAUCCGCAGGUAAACGUAUUUCCCUCAUAUUCUGCUGUUACCUUGCCGUCAGAAAAACAAAUCAUAUUUAAUUUUUAUAUACAUUUAUUUCAAAUUUCUCAUUAUUAAAUGUUAACAAGGUAACACUUUUUCAUAAUUAAUUACUAGAAUUACAAAAAUAAAUUCCAAGUGGCUGGGGCAAAAAAAAAAAAAAAAAUCCCAUUAUUGCUCUACACUUUGGCAAACUUUCUUGCAUUUCCAUCUAUAUUCUGGGCUUUGAGUCAAGUAAAUGAAAUCUUGGCUAGAAAAGAGAUUAUCUUAAUUUAGGGUGGUGACCCUUUCUAAAGGGAAUGGAAGAGAAUGCCAAUGUUCUAUAUUUUUCAAAUUAGCCUAAAAGAUUCUAUAUUUGCAGUUACUUCUAUUCUAUUUGGUUAUUUUAUCUAAAAGAAAUUUUAAAGUGUUGUUCAUAUUUUUAAGCAACAUAUCAAAAGAGCAUUUAAAAAUCUUUAUCACUAGCAAAACCAGUAGAACCCACGAGAAAGGAGUCUUAAUUAAAAACUUGACCAGUUUUCCCAUCGAUUACAAUAGUUACUCUAAGAUCCAUCUAACAUUCAUCAACAGGCCCAGAUUUAGGACUUACUGUAUCUGCUCGGCCGUGGAGAAACAAUGAUGAACAAAGUACCUGACUGUAGGAACCUCGAGGUGGCAUUCUUCUGUGUCACCACUUCUAGGCUCGAAGGAAAAUAAAAAUGCGCUUUACAGUGAGUCCUAGCUAGUUCUGAACAAGUUUUCUCCUUAUACUAAUAAACGAGAAAAUGUUUACUAAGACAUAUAAAAGUAGAACCCUCUCCAAACAGCAGUAUGAUGGCUCUAUCUUUAUAAAUAAUCUAGCUGGCUAAAGGGUGAAACAGACCCCUCUGGGAACUUCCGGGCAGUAACACAAGCACAACAGCCACCAUGGGUCUGGCUGGAACUGAGUCUUCUUUGGGACUUGGGAAGCCAGCCCAGGGAAGGCGACACAGAGGCCCCCUCUUAAUGCUUCGGCCAGCCUUACGACCCUGGGAAAGACUCCUUACGCAAGACUGGAUCUGAAAAAGACCCAUAAAUAACCCCCUACCUAGAGCUGACUUAGAGGUGGAAUAUGCAAAGCAAGUCACAGAAACAUCCUCGUUUCAAAUAGAUUUAUGACAAUACGACGUUUCCAGUUAUCUCAGAGCCAUGAACCAAACUGACAAUAUUCUGAACAUUUAUACAACCAGAAUUAGAGUCCAUGGAGUUCUGGUUGGGGAUCGUCGGUAACGAACCCGACUAGUAUCCAUGAGGAUGCAGGUUCAAUCCCUGGCCUCGCUCAGUGGGUUCAGGAUCCAGCACUGCCAUGAACUGUGGUGUAGGUUGCAGAUGUGGCUUGGAUCUGGCACAGCUGUGGUGUAGGCUGGCAGCUAUAGCUCCGAUUUGGCUCCUAGCCUGGGAACCUCCAUGUGCCAUGGGUGCUGCCCUUAAUCAUCUAAGUUUUAUGUCUUGCCUAGACAGUAAACCUUAUAUUUUUUUCCUACUGAAUCUUAACUUUCCCUGGCUCUCUCUCUUAAAGAAUUUAAAACAAUUUUGUUUCAUCCAAAGAUAUAGCUAAAGAUAAAUCAGUAUGGAAAAGAAAUCAUACCUUCUACCUCUGUGGCAGCCACCUUCAUCUGCCCCAAAUCCAACAAUGGUUUCUCAACACUUAUGUAAAAAGAGUCUGAAUUUUUUAACUAGAGAUUCCAAGUCCUAGACAAGUUCCAAGCUGAUUUUCCAGCUCAUCUGCCUCUAUACCUCUCCACAGAGCCAUCACUCCAGGCAAAUCGAACUGUCCCCUUACUAAACACACUCUUCACUUUACCUUUAUCCCUGCCUUUUCUCUUAUAUCCAAUCUGCAUUAAGGGCCCACUGACAGCUCUCUGUAAUUCCAAGGUGCAUCCACCCUACUAUCCCUAAUUGAAGGGAAGCCUCUUCUUGGAGCCUUUGUUAAUGCCCCAUCUGCUGAAAUGCCACAGGGCGCACUAUGUGGAAGAGGAGUGUCCUUUGGAAACAAACAUCACUGAAAUCUCAACUCUGCCAUGUGCAAGUCAGGCCCCGAGCAAGGUGCUUGCCUCCCCAACCUCAAUCAGACCAACACAGGGGCCAUAAUAAGUACCCUGCAAGCUUUAGAGGUUUUUGGACAAUAUUCUGCUGCCCUGGGUUCAAACCUCAAUGCUGACAACAGCAGAGGUCUGACCUUGGAAAAGGAAAUGACACGCCACGAGCCUCAGCUUUCUCACUGGUCCACGGGAGUCGCUAUAGAACUCUGACUCCCAUGCCCUGGGUCCCUCAGGCCCCAUAUCCCUUCCUCAGGAGUGGCCGCCCUUCCUCUCUCUGGGCCCCCAUCGCACCCUGUGUUCCCUUCUGUCUCUCCCAUCGGACACUCCUCCUUCACUGGCAGCUUUCUGGCCUGAGCGCAGACUGUCGUAUUUGCAGUAUGAAGGGUCUCAUAGGUAUAAAUCAAAGCACACAAGUUAAAAAAAAAAAAAAUCAAAGCACUGAGUCCGAGGCUGAGAAACAAAGGAAAACACCUGUUGAACUGCUGCAUCCUCUUUAAGAUCCAGUUCAAAGCAUAAUAGCUGCAACUCAGCGAAGUCUGGAGACAGAGGAAGGCUCCAGCCCUCAGCUGCUACCUACACCUCUGUAGUUUCCCCAAGGAAGGUUGCUUAGCGUUGGAGGCUCCGCCCCACUUCAUCAAUUCAUCUCUAACACAACCUCCCACACCCUCCCCUGUACUUUAAUUUUUUCCAUCAUUUUAUCUCCCUGAUCAGUAGCUGGAAGAAGGCAAGACCUCUGCGUGGCAGGCCCUUCUUUCCAGUCCCUCCUCCCCCCAUAGAACAGGAAUUGAAUAUAUUAAAAGGGAAUAUUAAAGUCUCUAAAAAUAAACCAUCCAAAUCACAAGGCUGCUCUGCCACGUGAGUCAUCGCCUCCAAGACCCCCAAGUCAAGGUGUGAAGAGACCUAGACAUCCUUCUUACCUUUCAGGAAGGAAUUCAACAAAAUCUCUUAAAAUCAAAAGAAAAAAUGUUCCCUGAAUAAGGUUUUCAUUAGUGCUAACAAAAUCAGAAACAACAGAAAACAGUGAACUGAAACCAAAAAUGUCAGGGGAAAAAAUUCUGUCCUUUCAAACUUAAUAAUGUCCACGGUACUUUAAUAUUCUUCUAUCACCAAGCCAAAUACUUUUCUUAGAAGAAUAAAUCAAUGCUUUACAUUCCAUAUUCAUGAGUAGUUAUAAAAAUAAACUAGCAUACACUCUAGAAGAGCUUUUUAGAGUUAUUGAUUAAUCAAAUUAAUGAAAGUUGACUUAUAAAACAUCUUUUGAACUCGUUAUUUUCCAGUGUGGCUAUCACCUCAUUAAAACAUCUGUUUUCUAUCUCCAACAUUUCAGAAUCAACAAACUUAUAACAAAAACAGAACCCUCCCCACCCUACCCCCCUUUUUAGUGAGGGGUGGCAGCAGAAAAGAAGAGGAAAAGGUUGUGAAUCUGGAACAAAAUACUGACUUUCCCCUCUUCUCGUGUGGAACACACUCCUUGACACUGUAAAAAGAAACAGAGGGAGUUCCCGUGGUGGCUCAGUGGUUAACGAAUCUGACUAGGAACCUUGAGGUUGCGGGUUCGGUCCCUGCCCUUGCUCAGUGGGUUAAGGAUCCGGCGUUGCCAUGAGCUGUGGUGUAGGUUGCAGACGCGGCUCGGAUCCCGCGUUGCUGUGGCUGUGGCGUAGGCCAGUGGCUACAGCUCCGAUUGGAUCCCUAGCCUGGGAACCUCCAUAUGCCGCGGGAGCGGCCCAAAGAAAUAACAAAAAAAAGACCCCCCCCCCAAAAAAAAGUUAAAUAUACGAAAAAAAAAAAAAAGAGAAAUUUCAAUUUAAUUCUGAGUUCACUGAAGCCUGAGGAGCUAAAACAGAAACUUAGCAGAAACCAGCAUCCUUUGUACAACUCUCUUCUCUGUAAAGUCUCCUUGGAGAGCCCCACUCCGCCUCUCCCUGGGACACCAGAGAUGAGUUGCUGGAAAUGUUCUUCCCAAGCUAAACGCCAGUUAUUUGAUCAAAUCAAAGAAUGCUAAGCAGGGAAGCCAGAGGAGAAAAAAAACCCUGCUCGCCUAGGAUUUUUGGAUCAAUUCCAAGAACUUUCCAUCUCCCACUGCCAGCAGCACCCAUCAAUUCCCAUAGUAACCAGCCCACAGCUUUCCAACUGGUCCAAAAGGGAGGCACACAGGCUACAGACAGAAACACAGAAGAGCACGACCCAAACCACAGCAUCAAUCCAAUCACUGCUAGAGUUCCCGUCAUGGCUCAGUGGGUUAAGAACCCAACCAGUAUCCAUGAGGAUUUGGUUCGAUCCCCGGCCUUGCUCAGAGGGUUAAGGAUCCAGCAUUGCUGUGAACUGUGGUGUAGACCACAGACACAGUUCCGAUCCCACUUUGCUAUGGCUGUGGUAUAGGCCUCAGCUAUAGCUCCUAUUUCACCCCUAGCCCAGAAACUUCCAUAUGCCAUGGGUGCAGCCCUUUAAAAGAGAAAAAAUAAACAAUUCUCUCCUUUCUCCCAUCAACUUGAUACUGAGGUAAUGAAGGGGACUUUUUUUUCUCUAGGGCUCUGAACAAAACAAUUUUCUGUUUUCUGAUGCAAUCUCGAUUCCAGUCUAUUUCAUACUAAAGCAAUCGUGUCUCCCCACCACACUGUGCAUAAAUGUUUGCUGACUGAAUGAAUCCUCUCUCUGGUAUAGAAAUAAAGUUUGCAAAGAUAUGGGGGUAUAGAUUUGAGAUCCAGGAUAAGGAUGAAGAAGCUGUAUUUCCGAAAUGAAUGAGAAAAGGGGGCUGGGGGGGGUGGAGACGACUUUAUAUUUGUGAAGAAGAGGGUUACUUAUGCUGACUAUGCAGGAGCUGGGGAGUGGAGAAGGACUCCAAGGGCUGAGAGCAUUUCUGUCCCCAAAACACUCAAUCAAGGGCCCUGCAAUCAGCAACUGUACCUCGUGAAAAGUGAUUUUCAGCACAGAAAGGGCAAUGAUCAGAACUAGGUGAUGAUUUUAAAAUUGUGAAAGGAAAAAAAUUACUCAGCUAAUUCUAACAUGUGCACCUAUAGUAUUGACUAUGUUGCUCAGAUUUUUUUUUAAUUAAAAAGUAAGGUAGAGAAUCAAAUUAAAAGUGCUCGCAUGGGCUACAAAUCAAUCCUGCAAGAUUUCACAUCUUCAACAAAAUUUGAUGGCUCUAAGGAAAAGGUGACAGGAGGUGCUGCAAAAAGAGGUACUUGCCAUUGCCCAGGAGCCCAUGUCUCUUUGAUAGGAUGCAUGUAGUUUCCUUAGGAGAGAUGCUUAGUAAUGCAGCUGUAGCGUUAUAGCAUACAC
rnacentral:lncRNA from 1 species